rnacentral:tRNA from 1 species
GAGAAAGAAUCAAGAACUGCUAACUCCUGAAUCCAUGCCUAAUAGCAUGGCUUUCUUA